rnacentral:rRNA from 1 species
UCAAACCUGUCAGUCUUGAGUGGUGUAGAGGUAGGCGGAAUUCCCGGUGUAGCGGUGGAAUGCGUAGAUAUCGGGAGAACACCAGUGGCGAAGGCGGCUUACUGGGCACUAACUGACGCUGAGGCUCGAAAGCAUGGGUAGCAAACAGGAUUAGAUACCCUGGUAGUCCAUGCCGUAAACGAUGAUUACUAGGUGUGGGAGGAUUGACCCCUUCCGUGCCGCAGUUAACACAAUAAGUAAUCCACCUGGGGAGUACGACCGCAAGGUUGAAACUCAAAGGAAUUGACGGGGGCCCGCACAAGCAGUGGAGUAUGUGGUUUAAUUCGAAGCAACGCGAAAAACCUUACCAGGUCUUGACAUCCCGUGCAUAGCCUAGAGAUAGGUGAAAUCCUUCGGGACACGGAGACAGGUGGUGCAUGGUUGUCGUCAGCUCGUGUCGUGAGAUGUUGGGUUAAGUCCCGCAACGAGCGCAACCCUUAUCUUUAGUUACUACGCAAGAGGACUCUAGAGAGACUGCCGUUGACAAAACGGAGGAAGGUGGGGAUGACGUCAAAUCAUCAUGCCCUUUAUGACCUGGGCCACACACGUACUACAAUGGCAAUUAACAAAGAGAAGCGAAACCGCGAGGUGGAGCGAACCUCAUAAAAAUUGUCUCAGUUCGGAUCGCAGGCUGCAACCCGCCUGCGUGAAGCCGGAAUUGCUAGUAAUCGCGGAUCAGCAUGCCGCGGUGAAUACGUUCCCGGGCCUUGUACACACCGCCCGUCACACCAUGAGAGCCGGGGGGACCCAAAGUCGGUAGUCUAACCGCAAGGAGGACGCCGCCGAAGGUAAAACUGGUGAUUGGGGUGAAGUCGUAACAAAGGUAGCCGUAAGCC